CAGUCGCCACGGUAAUACGAAGGGGGCUAGCGUUGUUCGGACUUACUGGGCGUAAGGGGCGCGUAGGCGGACUGAUAAGUCAGGGGUGAAAUCCCAAGGCUCAACCUUGGAACUGCCUUUGAUACUGUUUGUCUUGAGUUCGAGAGAGGUAAGUGGAACUGCGAGUGUAGAGGUGAAAUUCGUAGAUAUUCGCAAGAACACCAGUGGCGAAGGCGGCUUACUGGCUCGAAACUGACGCUGAGGCGCGAAAGCGUGGGGAGCAAACAGGAUUAGAUACCCGUGUAGUCCCUGUCUCUUAUAC
rnacentral:rRNA from 1 species